rnacentral:rRNA from 1 species
GGCUCGAGGACGAACGCUGGCGGCGUGCCUAACACAUGCAAGUCGAGCGAGGAGAUCCUCGGGAUGAUCCUAGCGGCGGACGGGUGAGUAACACGUGGGCAACCUGCCUCAUAGAGAGGAAUAGCCUUCCGAAAGGGAGAUUAAUACCUCAUAACAUUGCAGUUUCGCAUGGAACAGCAAUUAAAGGAGUAAUCCGCUAUGAGAUGGGCCCGCGGCGCAUUAGCUAGUUGGUGAGGUAACGGCUCACCAAGGCGACGAUGCGUAGCCGACCUGAGAGGGUGAUCGGCCACAUUGGGACUGAGACACGGCCCAGACUCCUACGGGAGGCAGCAGUGGGGAAUAUUGCACAAUGGGGGAAACCCUGAUGCAGCCAACGCCGCGUGAGUGAUGACGGCCUUCGGGUUGUAAAGCUCUGUCUUCAGGGACGAUAAUGACGGUACCUGAGGAGGAAGCCACGGCUAACUACGUGCCAGCAGCAGC